GCCCGGAUGGUCUAGUGGUAUGAUUCUCGCUUUGGGCUGCAAUAGCAACAAUCUGCGAGAGGUCCCGCGUUCAAACCGCGGUUCGGGCC
rnacentral:tRNA from 2 species